UUUUAGAGAAAUCGUUUACGACUGGGACGAACGAGCGAAGACCUUCGAUAAGAAAACUUGCGAAACAACUUUCUAAACUUCGAAAGUUAGGUUUUGUCUAUUAACGCUGCCUGGAAUAUUGUAUAUAGUUACGUUGUUGGUAGUCCAGUAUAUAAAUUAAACCUUAUAUCCAUAUUGAGGUGCAACACGUUAUUUGAAGUGUCACUAAACCCAUUUAUGAUUUUUGGUAUGUGUUGAUAUUUGGAUGAAGUGGCUUCACCUCUGAGUUCGUCGGUUCGAUUCUCGCUACGGACUCAUGUGAAAAGAGUCAGUCAACACUCUGCCGAAAAUCGUGGCUUUUCUCCCAAAGGGAAAGUGUUGACAGGUUGGGUUACGUAAGUUUGCGCCAUACAAUUCAGAGAAAAAAAUGGUGAAAGUCGAUUUAUGAUAUUGUAGCUCAUUGUUACUCCAGACAUGUACAUAUAAAUAUAGGUGUAUUAUUCUGAAGAGGUCGUUGACAACGAAACCAAAAUAAUAAAUCUGAUAUUGGCGGCAUUUGCUCAAAAACCAAGAACUGUUAAAUAUCUUUAUUGUGAAAAAAAUCUUAUCUGUCAAAAAAUGAUAAACUGAUAAAGUUGCUGAAUAUCAUCUCAUACACGAGUUGAAAUUUUUUUAUCUUUGUUUUCUGCUCCGAAAAUUCAUCUAAUGACGUCAUAUAACUUUCCAAGCGAAGAACGAGCGUCGGGAAUGACGUCUGGUUUCCGCAGACUACAUAUCCGGCAACUUUGGCAGUCAAAAAGUUGAUCAAGACGAGAUUUUACAGAGAAAUAAUAGAUAUCUAUUAUUUAUAUGGGUUUCUAUAAACAAAUAUUAAUUACAUUUUUCCUUAGAAUGACCAGAAUGUUACACAUAUCAAAUUUUGGGUCAGUGUCACUUUAACUAACAUUUGGCAUCAUGUAUAGACAUGCUUAUGUACAAAUUAAGUUAUAGUUAAAUUGCUUUUGCAAUAAGUAAAGCCAUCUGGUAAUACACAAACGACUUGGUAGUUUACAAGUCUGUAAAAAAGGUCCUUGAAUCAGUUUUAUCUUUCGAUUCGUAG